rnacentral:ncRNA from 2 species
UAGUUUGGAUCUCUCCGAAGACGCAGGGCCUAACGACCAAUGAGUCUAUGGCCCGCGUACGUAGGGGAUGCGAUAUGCAUCCCAAAGGUACGGUGGGAAACCACAGUGCCCCCCGUGUUUGGAAAGGAGAGCGCAGAGAGUGAUC